rnacentral:rRNA from 1 species
ACGGGUGAGUAACGCGUGGGAAUCUACCUAGUUCUACGGAACAACAGAGGGAAACUUCUGCUAAUACCGUAUACGCCCUAAGGGGGAAAGAUUUAUCGGAAUUAGAUGAGCCCGCGUAAGAUUAGCUAGUUGGUGGGGUAAUGGCCUACCAAGGCGACGAUCUUUAGCUGGUCUGAGAGGAUGAUCAGCCACACUGGGACUGAGACACGGCCCAGACUCCUACGGGAGGCAGCAGUGGGGAAUAUUGGACAAUGGGCGCAAGCCUGAUCCAGCCAUGCCGCGUGAGUGAUGAAGGCCUUAGGGUUGUAAAGCUCUCUCAGUGGGGAAGAUAAUGACGGUACCCACAGAAGAAGCCCCGGCUAACUUCGUGCCAGCAGCCGCGGUAAUACGAAGGGGGCUAGCGUUGUUCGGAUUUACUGGGCGUAAAGCGCACGUAGGCGGAUUGGUCAGUUAGAGGUGAAAUCCCGAAGCUCAACUUCGGAACUGCCUUUAAUACUGCCAAUCUAGAGUCCGGAAGAGGUGAGUGGAACUCCUAGUGUAGAGGUGGAAUUCGUAGA